rnacentral:rRNA from 1 species
AGAGUUUGAUCCUGGCUCAGGAUGAACGCUAGCGACAGGCCUAACACAUGCAAGUCGAGGGGUAACAGGGGCUUCGGCCCGCUGACGACCGGCGCACGGGUGAGUAACGCGUAUGCAACCUGCCUGUAACAGCGGGAUAGCUCCCUGAAAGGGGAAUUAACACCGCAUAAGACCACGCUCUCGCAUGGGGACGGGGUAAAAUAUUUAUAGGUUACAGAUGGGCAUGCGUGACAUUAGUUAGUUGGUGAGGUAAUGGCUCACCAAGGCGAUGAUAGGUAGGCGGCCUUAACGGGUGGUCGCCCACACUGGGAUUGAGAUACGGCCCAGACUCCUACGGGAGGCAGCAGUCGAGAAUAGUCUACAAUGGACGAAAGUCUGAUAGUGCGACGCCGCGUGAACGAAGACUCCCUAACAGGGUGUAAAGUUCUUUUAUAUGUGAGCAAUGGGUUAUAUAUUAAUAGUAUGUAGCCAGAGAUAUUAGCAUAUGAAUAAGCAACGGCUAACUCCGUGCCAGCAGCCGCGGUAACACGGGGGUUGCAAGCGUUGUCCGGAAUUACUAGGCGUAAAGGGCAGGUAGGCGGAUCAGUAAGUUUGAUGUCAAAUCCAUCGGCUCACCCGAUGAUCGGCAUCAGAUACUGCUGAUCUGGAAUACGGUUGAGGAAGACAGAAUUCCUGGUGUAGCGGUGGAAUGCGUAGAUAUUAGGAGGAACACCAGUGGCGAAGGCGACUUUCUGGACUUAUACUGACGCUGAGGAACGAAAGCGUGGGGAGCAAACAGGAUUAGAUACCCUGGUAGUCCACGCUGUAAACGAUGAGUGCUAGGUGUCGGGGGUCAAACCUCGGUGCCGGAGCUAACGCAUUAAGCACUCCGCCUGGGGAGUACGUACGCAAGUAUGAAACUCAAAGGAAUUGACGGGGACCCGCACAAGCAGCGGAGCAUGUGGUUUAAUUUGAAGCAACGCGAAGAACCUUACCAGGGCUUGACAUGCCACUGACCGCGCUAGAGAUAGCGUUUUACCUUCGGGUACAGUGGACACAGGUGGUGCAUGGUUGUCGUCAGCUCGUGUCGUGAGAUGUUGGGUUAAGUCCCGCAACGAGCGCAACCCCUAUUUUUAGUUGCCAUCAUUAAGUUGGGCACUCUAGAGAGACUGCCGAUGAUAAAUCGGAGGAAGGUGGGGAGGACGUCAAAUCAUCAUGCCCUUUAUGCCCUGGGCUACACACGUGCUACAAUGGUCGGUACAACGAGGAGCAAGCUAGUGAUAGCAAGCAAAUCUCUUAAAGCCGAUCCCAGUUCGGAUUGCAGGCUGCAACUCGCCUGCAUGAAGUCGGAGUUGCUAGUAAUCGCGAAUCAGAAUGUCGCGGUGAAUAAGGGCCCGGGCCUUGUACACACCGCCCGUCAA